rnacentral:rRNA from 1 species
UACGUAGGGGGCAAGCGUUGUCCGGAAUCAUUGGGCGUAAAGAGCGUGUAGGCGGCCUUAUAAGUCGGCUGUGAAAGUCAAGGGCUCAACCCUUGAAUGCCGGCCGAUACUGUGAGGCUAGAGUCCGGAAGAGGCGAGUGGAAUUCCUGGUGUAGCGGUGAAAUGCGCAGAUAUCAGGAGGAACACCGGUGGCGAAGGCGGGUCUCUGGGCCGAUACUGACGCUGAGGAGCGAAAGCGUGGGGAGCGAACAGG